rnacentral:rRNA from 1 species
AGUGAACGCUGGCGGUAGGCCUAACACAUGCAAGUCGAACGGCAGCACAGUAAGAGCUUGCUCUUACGGGUGGCGAGUGGCGGACGGGUGAGGAAUACAUCGGAAUCUACUUUUUCGUGGGGGAUAACGUAGGGAAACUUACGCUAAUACCGCAUACGACCUACGGGUGAAAGCAGGGGAUCUUCGGACCUUGCGCGAUUGAAUGAGCCGAUGUCGGAUUAGCUAGUUGGCGGGGUAAAGGCCCACCAAGGCGACGAUCCGUAGCUGGUCUGAGAGGAUGAUCAGCCACACGGGAACUGAGACACGGUCCAGACUCCUACGGGAGGCAGCAGUGGGGAAUAUUGGACAAUGGGCGCAAGCAUGAUCCAGCCAUACCGCGUGGGUGAAGAAGGCCUUCGGGUUGUAAAGCCCUUUUGUUGGGAAAGAAAAGCAGCAGGUUAAGACCCCGCUGUUCUGACGGUACCCAAAGAAUAAGCACCGGCUAACUUCGUG